GGUUUGAUCCUGGCUCAGAUUGAACGCUGGCCGGGAUGCUACACAUGCAAGUCGAACGCUGGCACGGACUUCGGUCUGGUGGCGAGUGGCGAACGGGUGAGUAAUGUAUCGGAACGUGCCUAGUAGCGGGGGAUAACUACGCGAAAGCGUAGCUAAUACCACAUACGCCCUUCGGGGGAAAAGCGGGGACCUUCGGGCCUCUCGCACUGAUAGAGCGGCCGAUAUCGGAUUGAGCUAGUUGGUGGAGUAACAGCUCGCAAGGCGACGAUCCGUAGCUGGUUUGAGAGGACGACCAGCCACACUGGGACUGAGACACGGCCCAGACUCCUACGGGAGGCAGCAGUGGGGAAUUUUGGACAAUGGGGAAACCCUGAUCCAGCCAUCCCGCGUGUGCGAUGAAGGCCUUCGGGUUGUAAAGCACUUUUGGCAGGAAAGAAACGGCACGGGAUAAUACCCCGUGCAACUGACAGUACCUGCAGAAUAAGCACCGGCUAACUACGUGCCAGCAGCCGCGGUAAUACGUAAGUGCAAGCGUUAAUCGGAAAUUACUGGGCGUAAAGCGUGCGCAGGCGGUUCGGAAGAAAGAUGUGAAAUCCCAGAGCUUAACUUUGGAACUGCAUUUUAACUACCGAGCUAGAGUGUGUGUCAGAGGAGGUGGAAUUCCGCGUGUAGCAGUGAAAUGCGUAGAUAUGCGGAGGAACACCGAUGGCAGAAGGCAGCCUCCUGGGAUAACACUGACGCUCAUGCACAGCGUGGGAAGCUAAGCAGGAUUAGAUACCCUGGUAGUCCACGCCUAAACGAUGUCAACUAGCUGUUGGGGCCUUCGGGCCUUGGUAGCGCAGCUAACGCGUGAAGUUGACCGCCUGGGGAGUACGGUCGCAAGAUUAAAACUCAAAGGAAUUGACGGGGACCCGCACAAGCGGUGGAUGAUGUGGAUUAAUUCGAUGCAACGCGAAAAACCUUACCUACCGCGGUAUGUCUGGAAUCCCGAAGAGGUUGGGGUGCUCGCAGGAGAACCGGAACACAGGUGCUGCAUGGCUGUCGUCAGCUCGUGUCGUGAGAUGUUGGGUUAAGUCCCGCAACGAGCGCAACCCUUGUCAUUAGUUGCUACGAAAGGGCACUCUAAUGAGACUGCCGGUGACAAACCGGAGGAAGGUGGGGAUGACGUCAAGUCCUCAUGGCCCUUAUGGGUAGGGCUUCACACGUCAUACAAUGGUCGGGACAGAGGGUCGCCAACCCGCGAGGAGCCAAUCCCAGAAACCCGAUCGUAGUCCGGAUCGCAGUCUGCAACUCGACUGCGUGAAGUCGGAAUCGCUAUUAAUCGCGGAUCAGCAUGUCGCGGUGAAUACGUUCCCGGGUCUUGUACACACCGCCCGUCACACCAUGGGAGUGGGUUUUACCAGAAGUAGUUAGCUAACCGUAAGGAGGGCGAUUACCACGGUAGGAUUCAUGACUGGGGUGAAGUCGUAACAAGGUAG
rnacentral:rRNA from 1 species